UUAAUCAUCAUUCGUUUUUCAUACCCAAAUGUCAAAUUUGUUUUAAUGGGGAUACGUUCUUUGAAUACUUGUCCAUGGUAUUUUUGUGUUUCAAAAGUAAAUCUGAGCAUGAUAAAAGAUGGGUUCUUGUUGCCACGAAUGCUUAUGUGUGAAUGUAUAAAUAGUUGGUGAUUGCUACGUACUAUUUGUUAAUGGAAUUUGACGAUACCCUUUUCGGUUGAAGACCUAAUUUAAGCGAAUCUAUGGUUGACCAGUUUAAGAACCUACCUUUAUGUUUUUUUCUUUUAUUAUUUAGUAUAAAAUUAUACAUGGAAUUUGGUGAAGGAAAGCUGGUAUGGGAAACCAUUGUAAAUAAAAAUAAUGGUUUGUGUUGAGUAAAGAAGAGCUCAUUUUUUGUUCAAUCCUCAAUGGGUUCCUGUCUGGCAAAAUUUUGAAAGAAAAUUCCCUUUCUUCACCGAUGCAUGCAUGCAAAAGCAAGUUCAUGGUUUGUAAUCUCUGAAAUUUCUAUCACUUUUGUUGUUUUAUUGUUAGAAUUUCUGAGAUUUUGGCUGAUUCAGUUUUCGUGAUUGUUAAUUUUAAGCUUUUAUGCUCGGUUAGAUUGUAGUGUUUGCCGGUUUAGAAGAGUCACAACAUGUCAAGUAGCUGUUGUUGUCGUUUGUCAAGAAGACGAGCCACUACUAGAAAGAGAUGUGCUUUAGUGUUAGUGCGUAUUGCAACCAAAGGGGGGUUGCUCAUUAUUUAGGAAAGCUUUGAGCUAUUGAAUUUCUUGCACUAAUUGUCUGCUGUAAGUGGGAAUGAGGUUGAUUUAAAUUAGAUUUGCUGACUAAGUUGGUUUUGCAGUGAAGCUAAUUAGUGAACACAAAUCAAGCCAACUUGAUAAGAUCAAUCGAGAUCCUGUAUCUAGUGAGAUGUUGAAGAUGCAGCAACAACUAGAGUAUUUGCAGGCAGAACUCUGUGGCCGUGGGGAGGUGCUUCAUCUGAUGAAAUUCAGGUACUCAAGGAUAGGAUUUCAUGGCUUGAAGCUAGUAAUGAGGAGCUAAGUAGAGAAUUGCAUGAGUACCGCAGAAGAGGCUCAGUAUUCUGAUUUGGAACCAGUCUCUGUAAUGCCAGGUGAUUCAAGAGAUAUGGAUGACGAAGCAGCAAAAGAGUGGGAACAUACCCUCCUGCAAGACUCAAUGGACAGAGAGUUGAACGAGCUAAAUCGGCGCUUAGAGCAGAAGGAGGCCUUGAUGAUGAUCACCAGAAAAAGAUUGAAGCUUGGCAUUAUUUGCUAAUUGUUUUUUGGUUUCUGAGCGAAAAUCAGCAUCAUUAGCUAAUUGCUUUUUGGUUUCUGAGUGAAAAUGGCCUUGUGGUUCACAAGAUUGGAAGGCUAGGCUGAACAUACCACCACCUAAUACUCGAUACAAAACAGAGCUUGGUUAUAUAAUUUAUAGGCGAGUCGUACGUUAUUACUCUGGAAAGGAGGAUGGGAUGGAUGUGAGAAAGGCUUUACCCCGAGGCGUUCAAAAGAAGUCUUAUCAUUCCCCUUAAACAACCAGUUACUCAUGAUCAAUUGGAGUAUCACCAAUUCAGUUUCGACGUAAUCUUGUCCUGGAAUUUAUUGCAGGAUGUCUUUUCAAGAAGCCGAGGUUAAGGUAUAUGACCAGUGUAUUCGUGAAUGCUUAUUGAUUAUGUAUUGAUACCAGGAAAAUGUAGAGAUUUUUUUUUUUUUUUUUAAAGACUGAAUAUUUUUGCCACGGUUGAACCGUGGGUAAUUCUUUUUUUUUUCUUUCAAAACUGUAUAUAUUUGCCACGGUUGAACCGUGGCUAAUGUUAUAUGCUGAAUUAGUUCCGCGGUCAAAUUAGCCAUGAAUAACCGUGGCUAAAUGAACACAAAACCGUGGCUAACGAAAUGUUACCACGGACGAUAAAGUCGUGGGUAAUUUCCUCGCGACGCCCUUGAUGGGCACGGUGUUAACCGUGGCUAAGACUAGUUAGCCACGAUGUUGGUACCAUUUAGCCACGUUAUUGACCGUGGCUAAAAUGCGUGUUUUUGGUAGUGAGUAGUCUAGCUUAAUGUUAAGCCAAGUGACGUAAUAUGAACAAGCCACUUGGCAACAA